AACAGCUAGCUCGACCAUAAAGAUAGAACUGACAACAUUAGCCAACCUAGCACAGAAUAAAUGCAUUAACUAAACCAUUCUACCCCCCCAGUACGGGCGACGGAAAAGGGCCAACGAAGCCAUAGACAAAGUACCGCAAGGGAAAACUGAAAGAGAGAUGAAACAGCGCACUAAAGUAAAUGAAAGCAGAGACCAAACCUCGUACUU
rnacentral:rRNA from 1 species